CAUUCGAGUGGCGGACGGGUGAGUAACGCGUGGGUAACCUGCCUUACACAGGGGGAUAACACCUGGAAACAGGUGCUAAUACCGCAUAAGCGCACAGGGCCGCAUGGCCCGGUGUGAAAAACUCCGGUGGUGUAAGAUGGACCCGCGUCUGAUUAGCUUGUUGGCGGGGUAACGGCCCACCAAGGCGACGAUCAGUAGCCGGCCUGAGAGGGUGGACGGCCACAUUGGGACUGAGACACGGCCCAAACUCCUACGGAAGGCAGCAG
rnacentral:rRNA from 1 species